CACUCCUGGCCUUUUGAGACCCUUAUCCCCGGCGGACCCCACUCCGGGGUGCUUUCUCCCACGUUCAGCCCUGCACAUCAGGGCUGCUCCUUGGCAGGGCCGAGGACUUGGCCGCCGCCUCCUUCCUGUGUCUCAGCAGGGCACUGCUGCGAGGCGUGGAGGCUGUUUGUGCACUCACGAGUUUCCGGAGCACCCCGAGGUCCCCAGAGCUCACUGCAUCCCGAAUUCCUGCUGCGGGGUCGCCACAUGUGGGUGCUGCCCGUGCAGAGUGACACGUUCCCAGAUCCCUCGCUGUCGUGGCCCCUUCAUCCUGCCUUGCCGGGAGGGCGUUGGAAAAGCACUGAUAUCAUCGGCACCGAGCCUGACUCAUCCUGGCUCUUCAGCACAAGCCGUGCCGCUCAGCGGGGCACACAUUUUAUUCCAAUUAAACCAUUGCAGGCAAGCCAGCUCUACAUAAUGAUUUUUUUUUUACUCGUAGCAAAGCGUGCCUUCCCCAGGCCAAAAGGUGAGAGGGGACAGAAGUGACGCUGGAGUCAGUGGAGAGUCUCAACUUCUGGUACGGAGCCCUAAGAAAAAGUCUUGCCAGAAACCUGCAGGGUCUGUCUCGGCUGCCGCAGCAUCCCUGCCUCCAGUGCGGGCUCUCAGCACUGCCUUGUGUCAACAGCCCCUGCCCUUUCCGCAAAUGCCCAGGUCACGAGCCCAGGUGGGAAUGUCACCUCUUCUCCCCACGACGCGGAGUCCAGCUCCUGCCAAAAGACCCCAGGGGGAGCAGCAUCAAAGUGCCCCUGUCAUUGUGAGAAAAUGUAAGGCGACUUGUUCCUCCUGCCCUUCCUGCUCAGGUUUUUCCCGUUUAUUAGAGGUUUGGGAGGUGAGUCAGGGAGCUGCGGGGUGAGGAUGGAGCUGGGGAGGAAUCGGCAGCUAAGGAAAGGCAAACCAGUUCCAGGCACAGGUGAAUCACUUGGUGGUGAAAAUACAUCUUAUUCUCUGGGAGGCAUUCGUGGAUGGGGUUGGGAGUGAGCUGCAGUUUAACUCCAUCAGAAAAUUGUGGAGUCAAGAAAAAAUAAAAGGCAAGGCAAGGCUGCUUUUCCAGUAAAUGAGGCGAUACAUUGCAAAGGAGCAGCCUGCAGCCGGCAAAGCUCCAGCAACCCGCGGUCCUGUGGCUCCCUUAAAAGGGGCGAUUUUAGCCUGGGACAGCGGGGAGACAGAAAAGCCAUAAACACCCUCAAAGGAAUGUGGCUGCUGAGAAACGAGAAUCUCGGCAGGCGAGGCGAGGUGGGGGGAGCCUGGAUGGGGUUUGCACCAGCACUCCGUGCCUGGAGCCAGCUUGUUCCUUGGCCAUGCCCUGUCCCGAGGGAAGACCCCCUGUGGCAGUGCUAACAGUCCCUGUGUGCUGCUGGGAGAGGCUCUGCCAAGCCCCGGGGUGUCAUGUCCCCAUGUCCUCCGGCCCCAUGCCAUACAGACAUUCCUGCUUGCCAGCUGCUGGCACGGGAGCAGGUAGAGCUGGGAGGUGCUGUGGGGACAGCAGGACACCAGCCUGGGCCAAAGAAGGAGCAGGCAGGGCUGGCAGAGGGUGCCUGUCCCAGAGGAAUUUCCUCUCCAUCAUAUCCCACUUCUUUACAAGCAUCUGAACUACUCUGCACAGACUUUGCUCUUAGUGCCAUGGAGCAGCCCUGUGGGUUCUGGGGCAUUGUGCAGGUUCUUGGGAAGAGCCCUUGGGGCUGGCUUGUCCCUGCAGGUAGCUGGGGGCAUGUUGUGACACCUCUGGGCCAGGCUCUCCCCUCUGUGUCCCAGGCUGGUGGCAAAUGGAAUGUGCCUGACUGAAAUGAACAUGCUGCUUGAUUUUCUUCCAGGGCUGAUGAAGAUGCAGCACGUGGCACUCAUCUGUAAAUAAAUGUUGUAGUUUGUUGGUUUUGUUGAUCUUUCAUAAA